CACACACCAGCGCCUGUCAGGGGGUUGGGGGCAAAGGGAGGGAGAGCAUUAGGAUAAAUACCUAAUGCAUGAGGGGCUUAAAACCUAGAUGACGGGUUGAUAGAUGCAGCAAACCACCAUGGCACAUGUAUACCUAUGUGACAAACCUGCAUAUUCUGCAAAUGUAUCCCAGAAAUUAAAGUAAAAUUUUAAAAAAAAAAAUUCUAAAAAAAAAAAGAAAAGAAUUUGGAGUUUUGGCAAGAUUUUUGGACAAGGAAACUCCCACCAAAAUUCUAUAAUGUAAGAGCUCAGUCAUAAAACAGAGCUCAGCUGGCGGAGCCUGAUUUGCCUCCUACAAACCUCCCUUUAAAAGGCUCAGGAAAGCAAGAAUGAGGUACAAAGUUGCAAAAGCAGUGGAUUCUGGAAAUAUGGGUCAACUCACUGGAAGAAUUUCAACUCUCCAGGGUGCAAGUAGGGCCCACAGGUACAAGAGUGAGAGUGAACUAGAAAGGUACAGCCCAUCUCUGAUGUCUCUCUGCACCCCUUCCUUCACAGUCAUGGGGACUCUACAGGCCACGGGGUGGGCUGCCAGCCUCCUUGAUCACAGAGUCCCUUUCUGAAGGAAACAAGCUCAUUUCACAAGCAUGGCAAACCCUUUCCUCGUUAGAAAUGCUCUGUCUCACUAAUUUUAGGGACUGUAAUUUCCAGUACUACAAAAGACCGUGUGCAGAAGCAACAGUGGUUCAGUUCAUGUAAUUCCUCAUGUUAUACAUUUAUAUAUGACAAGGACUGCCUUAAGAAUUCAGGAUGAAAUGAUGAAGAUACAGUCUUUGCAUGAAUAUAAUAGUAAAACAAACACACACAAAUUAUAAUAUAAAAAAAAUCCUAGAGGCCACUGUUGGCACCAGCCAGUGAAAUCAUUUCUCUCUCCAGUACCUCAGCCCCUGUCUCGGCUGCCUUCCUCAAUCCCUUUCAGAUCCCUUGGUCCUUGGUAGAGCCCGGGGGGCUCCUAACAUAAUGCCUUAGAGCAAUUAUCCUUGCAUGCAUCUGCCUUGGAGGUGGCUCUGUGAUUUAAUAGAGAAUCUCAGUCUUUCUCUGGCUCUGUGCUUGAAAAAGUCUAGUUAUUUGACCUCAUCAAUUUGAUUGAAAUGAGCUACUCUAGAUCCCAUGAAAAUAUACGACCAUUUCAACAUUUUCACAGAGUUUAGUGUUUUAUUUUCCCCAUUCAUUUGUUAACUCUGUAUGCCUUAAAUACCCAUUUUGAAAUCCAUAGUAUUGUACUGAAGGAUCCAGCUAAUUUUCAGCAUAUAAUUAUUGUAUGACUUCAUAAGUAACUGGUUGUUAAUCGUCUUAAAUGGAAAAAUAACACUGCUGGCUGUGAGGGGUGAUUUUUCUUUUCCGCUUCUUUUCCUUGGGUUUACCCAGUUGAAGCCUGUGUAUGCUAGCCACAUAAUAAAUGCUCAUUAGAUAGUGAUCUGAUAUUAACCGUAUGUGACCCUAGUACCUUGAGUGACUUACAAUUUUAAUGACUUUUAAUGAAUAUCUCCUACUAUGUAACACCUGAAUGAUUUUAAAAUUUUAAUUCAUUUCUCUUUAGCUUUUCAAUCCCUUUAUUCUUAAAGUAUUUUAAGGAAAUAUUUUUGCAAGUGAAACUCCUUGUUUCCCAGACUGCACCUCUUUCCUGCAUUCUGAAGUCUGUUUCCACCUGCUGGCUAGACAUUGCUGUCUGGAUGUUCCUCAAGUUUCUCAGGCUCAGCACAUGGAAAUACUCAACAUCAUCCUGAUCAAAUGCUCCUCUUCGUAAGUCUGUUAUUCAGUGGCUCAAUCCAGAGACCUGAGAAUCACCGGAGACUUCUCUCUCUCCCCCUUCCUCCCAUGACUCAUCAUCCCAUCAAUUCUUCCUCCAAAAUACAUCUCACAUCUGUUUCCUCUCCUCAUUCCCCCUGCCACGCUGUUGGUUCGUGCCUUCUUAGAUGAAUGCAAUACAUCUUACAGGUCUUCCUGCCUUCAGGGUCUGUCCUCUCCAGCACACCCUCUCCAUGGGUCACGCCAACCUAUUCUCCCCUCCUUGAUUCGAGCUUUGCAACUACUCUCCCUUUCCCACCACGUGAAGUCUACAUUUCUUCCCAUGGCUUAAAAGGUACUUCACAUGCUCCACUUCUACUUGCACGCCAUGCCCUCCCACAGACCCCUUCACUCCAGCCUUCUACAUAUGCCACACCCCCUCAUAUUUCAUCUUAAAUGUAAACUCCAAAUUUCAUGAAUGAACCCAUCAAUAAAUGAAAUAAAAAUAUGCAUCCUGACUGUCCCAGGAUUGCCCAAAGAGGAGCAGAGUUAACUUGGAUAUUCAGAGAUUCAUCUGUGUAUUGAAUAGUUGGGGCUUUGCUUCUGCUCACUAAUUCUUUCAUCCAAAAUGAACUGUUUAGGGCAUCCUGGGGAAGAUGUUUUUAUCCUGCUAACUCUUGGGAAUAGGAGGAGGAAGUGGCUGGCAACUGAAGGCUGGAACACUUGCUACUGGUAAUCGCAGCUUUUAACGUUGCACCUCUUUAGAUACUUGAAGAAUUCUCUGUUUUGGUUCCAUUUUGUACACUUUUGAAAAAUAAUCUAAAGAAAUGAGCUGUGCUCAUAGGGCUUCAUAGCUCCCAAGAAUUAAAAAAAAAAAUUCACUCAAUCAACUUAAUUCCCUUUUCUUUAUCUUCCCUCCCUCGUUCUCUUUCUGUUCCACUCUCUUUUCUAAGCUGUUUCACUUUGCAAUACCUUGCUGGUAAAGAGUUGCAAAAUAAUGCAAUCUUGACUUGUUUUCUCCUAAGUAUUUGAUUUAAAACUCCUGUAUCUAAAGAAAUACACUUGGGGUCAUUAAUAAAGAAAAUCUUUUUAUCUGAAAAAAAAAUUCCCAAGAGUUAGUGGGAUGAAAACUUUUCUGCAUGCUUCAGGCAGCUGUCAGAACGAAGGAAAUGAGGUAAUCGAGAAACGGAGCACAGAUCAAUGUUUACACUCACGCAAAAGGCGAGAUAGGAGAAGAGAGAGAGAGGAAUGGUCAUUGUGGGUGUUUGAGCUCAGAUGAGGGCCCCUGUGGGCUCAACCAGGUCUGUGUUUUAUAAUCCUAUCAAAUGUAGAGCUGGCAUAAUGAAUUCAAAAUGAAUUUAGAUAAAAAUGAUUUGUGACUUUUCACUUUAAAUCAAAGCUCAUUACCCAGCAAUAUAUAUGGCUGGCACUCUAUAAAUAAAAAUACAUUUAUUCAGGGUAAACUUAAUACACAGACUUAGAAAUUUAAACAGCCCCCAAUAAUGUUCUAAUUUAUUUUAUGUUCCCUGAAGUUCUAUAAUGAAGGCACUAAAAGUUCAUGAUACAUAUGCCUUAGAAAAUAGCACCUGUUGACUAAAUGCAUAUUGAGGUUCAGUCACAUUACACAGAAUUUCAGAAAGACAAAGGAAUUUAGUUAAUGUUCAGGAAUCGUUUUGUGAAUAAUAAAAGGAAUGCCAGCUCUGGAAGUAAUCUUUGAAUAAUUCACUAUAAGAAACUUGGGAACAGUAUAUAAUGUAGAACACAUUCCAAAAGAAGAAAAGCUCUGCAAAGAAAAAAUAAAUUUGUGUAUUCAUUUAUUCAGUAUACACAGCACAUGCCUCUAGGCCAAUCACAUCAGUUUUAGCCUUGUAAAACUAAGCAUUAAACUGAUGAUUUCCAGAUUUAUCUGUCUGAGUUAAUUUUUAUUGUGGCAAACACAGCAGCAACAAUAAAGUCAAAGUUUCAGUGGCUUACACAAUAAACAUGUAUGCCUUGCCUAUAGGUCUGUGGCUGUUGCGUGGCUCUUCUGGGCCUGGCUGAACUUGGGUCCAAGCACGCCCCAUGUGACUCUCAUUCUGGCUAAGGAAUGGGGGAGUACCAAUGACCAUGCCAUACCACAAAAGCACACAUAAAACCUUUGCUGAGCUCACGCCUGUAAUCCCAGCACUUUGGGAGGCUGAGGCGGG
rnacentral:lncRNA from 1 species